UACGUAGGGUGCGAGCGUUGUCCGGAAUUAUUGGGCGUAAAGAGCUCGUAGGCGGUUUGUCGCGUCGGCCGUGAAAUCUCCACGCUUAACGUGGAGCGUGCGGUCGAUACGGGCAGACUUGAGUUCGGUAGGGGAGACUGGAAUUCCUGGUGUAGCGGUGAAAUGCGCAGAUAUCAGGAGGAACACCGGUGGCGAAGGCGGGACUCUGGGCCGAUACUGACGCUGAGGAGCGAAAGCGUGGGGAGCGAACAGG
rnacentral:rRNA from 1 species